rnacentral:rRNA from 1 species
AUUAAGGACUGCAAGUUGUACUUGUAACGGGGAUCCAGCUGGCUGGCCACCCAGUAAUCAGCACAAGUUAAAAUGUGGGCAACUCGGCAGUCGUUGCGCAGGCACUUUGGUGAUUCUAGAUAACCUCGGGCUGAUUGCACGUCCCCGUGACGGGUAUGACGCAUUCGGAUGUCUGCCCUAUCAACUUUCGAUGGUUCUUUCUGCGCCUACCAUGGUGAUCAUGGGUAACAAGGAGUCAGGGUUCGAUUCCGGAGAGGGAGCCUGAGAAAUGGUUACCACAUCCAAGGAAGGCAGUAGGCGCACAAAUUACCCACUCCCGACAAGGGGAGGUAGUGACGAU